CCUACGGGCGGCUGCAGUGGGGAAUAUUGGACAAUGGGGGGAACCCUGAUCCAGCCAUGCCGCGUGUGUGAAGAAGGCCCUCGGGUUGUAAAGCACUUUCAGUGAGGAAGAACGCCUGGUGGUUAAUACCCAUCAGGAAAGACAUCACUCACAGAAGAAGCACCGGCUAACUCCGUGCCAGCAGCCGCGGUAAUACGGAGGGUGCGAGCGUUAAUCGGAAUUACUGGGCGUAAAGCGCGCGUAGGUGGCUUGAUAAGCCGGUUGUGAAAGCCCCGGGAUCAACCUGGGAACGGCAUCCGGAACUGUCAAGCUAGAGUGCAGGAGAGGAAGGUAGAAUUCCCGGUGUAGCGGUGAAAUGCGUAGAGAUCGGGAGGAAUACCAGUGGCGAAGGCGGCCUUCUGGACUGACACUGACACUGAGGUGCGAAAGCGUGGGUAGCAAACAGGAUUAGAUACCCCGGUAGUC
rnacentral:rRNA from 1 species